UGUCUCAUUUCAAGUUUUGAUUAUUAUUUCUUGACCUGAAUCAGAAGAAAAUAUUUCAAACUAUUGAGUAGCAUUUCUUUCUUGGACAGCAGCUUUGAUGCUUCUUAGAGAUUCCUCCAAAUCGUCACAUAGCUGAUGAGGAUCACAAAUGGCCGUUGGAUCCACGAUCAUGGCGAACGAUUUUACGUGGGGGUGUCCAUAAGCACUCGGGGCUAUGUAGGUGAUGGGAUGCCCAUAUAAGCUAACUUCUUCAGUAGGACCCACCAAGUUUGAAAACGACAUCGUUGUGUUUGAUAUUGUUCUGCUUGUUAAACUAGCCGCCCUCUGCAAUAUUUUAAAUUCAUAAGAUUAAUUGUUAUCUAUACUAUUAAAAGGGAAUCAUUCUAAAAAAAACUACUUAUACAAGGUUGUUAGAUCUAUUUAUUAGUUAAUUAUUUUUGGUCUUACCUAAUAUUUCUCUAACAAUAUAAAGUAACAUGAGAUACAUACCAAAUUUAGUUGUUUACUCAAACCAUAUAUAUUACAUACGUAUAUUAUCACAACACCUAUAUACGAAAUUGUAAACACCAUGAAAUACUUUAAUGAAUGUAAAGCUUUCAUGAACACUAUUUACAUAUAGUUUGAGGUUUAUAUUAUCGAUAAUAUACUAUGAUAAAAUGACAUUUUCGUAGCACUUAUAAAUUUGUAAUAUAUAAUUCUUAAUUGUACAAGUGAUGUGUUGUAACAUAUAAUAAAACGUCAAUUCCGUUUUGGAUCGAACUGACUUCCAAUUUAAUUUUGACAUUGAGAUUCAAGCCAUAUAUAAGAACAUCCCCAUUCACGAACAAAUAUGUUUAAACCAAACAUAUUAUUAAUUUUAGAAUAAACAUAUUUAUAACAUAGUAUAUGUUGAUAAUACCCAAACCGGUUUACUAUACGUACUGAUAUAUAUAUAUAUAUAUAUAUAUAUAUAUAUAUAUAUUAAUUAUCAUAGUAUUCUAAUGUUUGUGGAAUAUGUAUACAGCCAAGUUAAGAAUUAGUGUUUUAAUAUCCUAGAAGAUAUUUUUAAGCCUUUUGCGUAACAACAUAUCUCGAUUCGUAAAAGAUCAUAACUUAUACGUUCCAUAUUUUCAUCUAACUUCUAUAUAUAUCAAGUACGGUAAAUGUAAUAAAUCCCGAUAGCUAUUAUAGCAUUUCUUCCCGUUUAAUAAGGAGCUAUUAUCAUUACUCCCAUAUAUUAAGCAUCAUAAAUAUUAUAAAUGUUUUAAGCUAUAUUUAUUGAGAAUCUAAAAUAUAAUAAUUUUUUGGUGAUGUCAAUUUUUUUUUGGUUUAGAUUUAGAUCAGUUUUUUUCGGGUAUGAGUUGGUUUGGAUCCAUAAUUUAAAUAGUCGUAAAAUACAUAUAAUUUUCAGGUAUAUAGUGGAUCUAUGCAGGUUUAUAGUGGAUCCAGGUAAAAUACAUAUAAUUUUCAGCUAUAUAGUGGAUUUUGUUAGGUUUGGAUAUCUAGGACCCCAAGUACCAGUAAACCUGCAAAUAUAUGAAACCCAAAAAAUACAUGAAAACCAGUAAAUACCCGAAAUAUAUUCAAAUACUUGAAAAGUCCCGAUUUAACUCAAAAUCUGAUCCGCGAAACCAAAAAUGCCUAAAAUUUAAUCUGAUUACCCUAAAUAUGUUCUUAAAAUUUUGAAAUUCUACUUAAACCCUGAAACUAUAACCGGAAACCCAAACCUGAAACUUAAAAGAAUAUCCGUA